rnacentral:rRNA from 1 species
CCUACGGGUGGCAGCAGUGGGGAAUCUUGGGCAAUGGGCGCAAGCCUGACCCAGCAACGCCGCGUGAAGGAAGAAGGCUUCGGGUUGUAAACUUCCUUUUAGAGGGAAGAGCCGAAGACGGUACCUCUUGAAUAAGCCACGGCUAACUACGUGCCAGCAGCCGCGGCAAUACGUAGGUGGCAAGCGUUGUCCGGAUUUACUUGGUGAAAAGGGCGUGCAGCCGGGAAGCCAAGUCAGAUGUGAAAGCCCGCGGCUCAACCGCGGAACUGCAUUUGAAACUGUUAUUCUUGAGUACCGGAGAGGUCAUGGGAAUUCCUUGUGUAGCGGUGAAAUGCGUAGAUAUAAGGAAGAACACCAGUGGCGAAGGCGGAUGACUGGACGGCAACUGACGGUGAGGCGCGAAAGCGUGGGGAGCAAACAGGAUUAGAUACCCUUGUAGUC